ensembl:lncRNA
AGCAGUGAUGGAGCACCUGGUGAGGGGUGUAGCCAGCCCUGCGAGCACAGUGGCUGCCUCCAUUGGAUUGUUGGGUGAGCCUUGCUCCUUGAAAAAAGUUUUGAGUUGUGCUCUGGAACAGGAUGUACAGCUGGAUCUAGAACAGUUGCCAAAGAGGUGUCCAUGGGCAAACGGUGCUGGAUUUCCCAGGUGGAGAUCAUGAAGUUCCUUGCCUCCUUGCAAAGUGUUCUCAUAUUAUUCUUAUACAGCGUUGUAUGUUACUGCUGUACUAAGAUUUUUACUACAAAUCCAUUAUCUGUUUCCCAAAGGUAAUGGUGAUGCUGAGAAGCAUGCCUCAUGAUGACUUACACAUCCCUCAUGCUUCAUAUUAAUUCUUCCUUUGGGUCAAAAGUAGACUGAAAUUCUUGAAACCUUGCCUGGGAAUCCUGCUGUUGCUAAAAUGGUUCAGCCGUGGUGCCUGUGGUCAGAAUACCUUGUGGCAGACCCUGGCACUGGCUGUGAAUGAAAGAACUGACGACAAAUUGCUCAAUAUCGAAAGCGAGCCAAUGCAUAUUUACAAGCCUUGGGUGAGCCAGAUGGAAUCUAAGAGCGGGAGGCCGGGUAGGAAAGCUGUUACUAUGAUGUUUCUUAGAAGACUUGCACGGCUGUUUUGCAUUGCUCUGUUAAUUGUUCCAAGGCACCCUUGGCUUCACUGCGUGCAAUUCAUACCAUGUUUUUUCAUCACUUCAGAUGCUGGCUGAAAUAUGUAUAUACAUGUGUAUAUAUAAAUGUAUACACAUACACAUAUUUAAAAAAAAAAAAAGGCAUGACAACAACAACUUACUGGUUAUGUAUUCAUUUAUUUACAGGUAUACCAAAGCAUUUAGCACGGGGUUGGAGGGUUUGUCGAAGUUUUCCUUGCUUUUCUUUGUCGUCUCCCCUUCUUCCUCCCACCAUCCUCUGCCAAGAAAAAAAAGAGAGGAGGGGAUGCGCGCCCACGGUCCCAGGCAGUCCGCUAAAAGGCGGCAGAGUUGUUGUUUCCACGGUAUCUGCUGCCACCUAAAG